rnacentral:piRNA from 1 species
UAAAAGGGAAACCACAACUACUCCAC